GUGCCAGCAGCCGCGGUAAUACGUAGGGUGCAAGCGUUAUCCGGAAUUAUUGGGCGUAAAGAGCUCGUAGGCGGUUUGUCGCGUCUGCUGUGAAAUCCCGAGGCUCAACCUCGGGCCUGCAGUGGGUACGGGCAGACUAGAGUGCGGUAGGGGAGAUUGGAAUUCCUGGUGUAGCGGUGGAAUGCGCAGAUAUCAGGAGGAACACCGAUGGCGAAGGCAGAUCUCUGGGCCGUAACUGACGCUGAGGAGCGAAAGGGUGGGGAGCAAACAGGCUUAGAUACCCUGGUAGUCC
rnacentral:rRNA from 1 species